rnacentral:rRNA from 1 species
AGUGAACGCUGGCGGUAGGCCUAACACAUGCAAGUCGAACGGCAGCACAGGAGAUCUUGCUCUCUGGGUGGCGAGUGGCGGACGGGUGAGGAAUACAACGUAAUCUGCCCAGUCGUGGGGGAUAACGUAGGGAAACUUACUCUAGUACCGCAUACGACCUUCGGGGGAAAGAGGUGGAUCGCAAGACCUCUCGCGAAUGGAUGAGCCGAUGUCGGAUUAGCUAGUUGGCGGGGUAAUGGCCCACCAAGGCGACGAUCCGUAGCUGGUCUGAGAGGAUGAUCAGCCACACUGGAACUGAGACACGGUCCAGACUCCUACGGGAGGCAGCAGUGGGGAAUAUUGGACAAUGGGCGCAAGCCUUAUCCAGCCAGACCGCGUGGGUGAAGAAGGCCUUCGGGUUGUAAAGCCCUUUUGUUGGGAAAGAAAUCUUUCAGGCUAAUACCCUGGGAGGAUGACGGUACCCAAAGAAUAAGCACCGGCUAACUUCGUG